CCUACGGGUGGCAGCAGUGGGGAAUAUUGCACAAUGGGGGAAACCCUGAUGCAGCGACGCCGCGUGAGUGAAGAAGUAUUUCGGUAUGUAAAGCUCUAUCAGCAGGAACGAGACAAGACGGUACCUGACUAAGAAGCCCCGGCUAACUACGUGCCAGCAGCCGCGGUAAUACGUAGGGGGCAAGCGUUAUCCGGAAUCACUGGGUGUAAAGGGAGCGUAGACGGCUGAGCAAGCCUGAAGUGAAAGGCGGGGGCCCAACCCCUGGACUGCUUUGGGAACUGUACGGCUGGAGUGAAGGAGAGGUAAGUGGAAUUCCUAGUGUAGCGGUGAAAUGCGUAGAUAUUAGGAGGAACACCAGUGGCGAAGGCGGCUUACUGGACUGUAACUGACGUUGAGGCUCGAAAGCGUGGGGAGCAAACAGGAUUAGAUACCCUGGUAGUC
rnacentral:rRNA from 1 species